ensembl:lncRNA
GGUAGUUUCCGGAGAGAAGUCUCCUCCUUCGCCGUCCUGGCCCCCGCCCCUUCAGCCCUUCGGCUAUCUCCGUCAGCGGUUCGGCUCUCUCCGCUCACCCUUCGGAACAGGCCGUUAAGUUCCGCCGUCACUUCGGCAACUUCCGCCACUUCGGUCGGAAAUGGCCGAAGACGUGAGAGAUCCAGCGGUUUAGGGUAGAAGACCGGCCGGCUUUUCGGAACAAACCAACUGCGCCCGGACGUGGGGGGGGGGGAGCAGGGGAGGGCAGCCGGAGGGGGAAGACAAGGCAGAGGCUGUGGCUCCCCCCCCAGCCACUCGCAGCGGGCGCCGGCACCGCGGCUCCGCCUGGAGGGUGAAGCGAGGGCGCCGAGAGAGGAGAAGCACCCUUGAGAUCAACACUAAGAGAAAGAAGAAAAGUAGUGAAGGAUUGAUGUGUGAUGCAGGACAGCUCUGAGCCAAGAAGCAGUGCAGAAGGUAAGGCACACCCAAGCUCUGCAGUACUGAUCUGCUCCACACCUUCCAUGAAACUGGUGCUCUUCUUCUGCAUUUUAACCAGCUACCAAAACAUCUCUGUGAUUUUCCAGCACUGUUUUCCCUUCUCACCAUACACGUUACAGUAAUGGUAACAGAUGGGAAAAGCUGGACAGCACCAAUAUGGUGUCACUCACAGAAUCUGAGUCAAGCCCUUUAUGUGCUUGGCCACCCACUCUUUCAUUUAAUCACUUGCAAUUUGCUGAAAGCCCUAGCCAACUUCACUUGGCAGAGCUGCAGGUGAAGAAGUGAUGUUUCACAAGAUUCUGAUUUCGGCUGUUUAAAUUCUGUUUUUUUAAAGAAGCACUGAUAGUCAUGAACGGGCUGAGCUUGCUUGUGUGCUGAGGAUCCCAAUCCUGGCACACAGCUCUGCAGGGAGGUUGGGCUCUGAAAUGAUGUGCGUGAUCUGCACAUUUCUCUUCUUACCUCUAAAAACUUCAUAGCCUAGGUAGGCUCGCCAUGUAGGGAUUAGUCCAUGGGCUGCUGAUGCACAGCUACCAUGGGGGUGUGUGAUUGACAGGGGAGCACGGGCAAUCUCACUGCAGAGGCUGGAGGCUGCUGCCAGCAGCACAUUUCUUCUUCCCCAACUCUCCUAUCACUCCUGUAAGGAAGCCAGAGGAUGGGAAUUGUUCAUCACUGAGCUCUGAAGUACUGAUGAAACUGCUGAUGAAUCUGGGCUUGAACCAGGAGCCAAAGGCACAAGGGCACUACAGGGCUGUUGUAUCCCAGGCAAAUCUAUUGAGGCAGCAGGGGUUUUGUGGUGCAAAUAGCACAUGAGUUGUUACUGGGAACGCAGUUAUUUAAGGCUGCCAGAUCCAACUCCUGCUCUUAGGAAAGCUUGGAUGAAAUGUAAUGGUCUGUGACACAGCAAGAAGCAGACUGGGUGCUCUUGGGGUCCCAUCUGCCCUCAAACUCUAAUAAUCUCUGAGAAAUCACAGCUGCAUCUCUGAUGAUGCAUGACCAGUUCGAGCCCCUGUUUUGACUUGCUGUCCACAGAGUUCUGCAGGAGUGCUGUGUCCUUGUGUUGAGUUCAGAGCAUCUGCUCCACAUGUACAUGGGUUGAACUGCUUCCAGCAGACUUAGCAACUGUGCUGAUGACUUCCUCCAGGAAAUCCAGUCAUGCAGGUAGCGUUUAGCUUACAGGAUCAUGGCAAUCAAGCCAUAAUGACACUCCUGUAAGUUGUCUUUUUUCUUCCAUUUUUUCCAUUUUUGGUUUUUGGUUUAUUUUUGAACCUAUUAACUAACUUCGUAUCCCCAGCUGAAAAUCUGUACAUCUAGGGGAUUUUUUUCUGCCUUGUUUGAGUGAAAGAGUAAAUCCUUUUUGAUUUAUUCCAGAACAGCCCCCGAGCUCAGCUCCUGUGAGAGCCUGCUGACUUGGAGUUCAAAAGAUCUCACUUCUUUGAGGAAGGCUGUGGUCUUCCAUCUUGCCUCAAAGUUAAGCUGAAAGAGAAAAUUCCUUUUUUUUUCUUUUUCCUUUAGAAGGAGAGAAAAUAAGCAUGCUGUGCAAGGGAAUCAGUUAUACCUGCAGCAGAAGAGAAUGCCAACAUGCAGGAUUUCAGGUUAAAAUCUGGUUGUUAGCGUAGGCUUUAUUUUCAAGCACCUAGCAUGUUGUUCAGUAAGUGUUUUGUUGAGAUAAAGACUUCCUUUUAACAGUGCUGUCGACUGGCUGAGAUCCAGCCUGUGAUCCUUCAUUAAAACAUCUUUGGUAUUGAAACCCCUGCAUUAUAGUGGUGGCUAGAAAUGGAAGUUCUAGCUCUAAUUUCCUGCAGAGCUGCUGAUACAAGGCUUGGGCUGAGUUCUGCACACACUGACUUCCAAAUUUCAUCUUUACACUGAGUUUCACUGCAAGCAAGAGUGCUGCUCACAGUCAUAACCUUGUUGCCUUGUUAAUACUUGUAGGAGAAAACACUAAAAGGCCGAGGAUGUCAUCAGGUCUAACAUCUCUCCUAGUCUCUGCAUUGUUUAUCUUGCUGCUCUGUUGUAGGUCUCUGGAGGUGAAAGCUGAGCUGCCCAAACAUGAGCCCUAACACACACGUGCUGGGUAGUACAGGCUUCUCUUAAAUAUGCUUUCUGAUGCUUGGCUUCUAACGUCAUCCUAUGGAGCAAUAUCAGUUACAGCCAGCAGUUAUUUGUAUCAGUUGAUGUCUUCACAUAGCACAGGGACUGGGAGGGGUAGGUACCUUCAGAUGCCUCCUAUGCUGGACAGUGGCUAUGAAUAUGAAGAGUGAUGACCCGUGCUGAUGAUGAGCUGUGCACCUUGAGAGGAGGUGCAGACAGCUAUUUGUGGUGUGUAUAUAUACGUACGGGUAGUGCAAAGUAAGUAUGUGAGAGCUAUUAUGUGCUAGCUGUUUCCUGUCGGGCCCUUCCAGUGUAUAUUUAUGUGGUUGUUGCUACAGCUGUGUGUUUUGAAGGGCAGGGGUAAUAGAUGGAAGAUCUUUAAUCUAUGUGGACCUUGCCUUUAAAAAAAACCCAACAUCCUGAGCAAGGUGACCUUGGCUCUGCCUCUAACAUGUGCAGCCAGCAGUGGAGGGGGAGCCGGUGCUGAGCAGUGCAGCAAAGGCUGGAUGUCAGCAGAAGAUAACACAGCUUGGGUUGGUCUGGGGUUUAAGUGCAAGUGAGGGGAGAAAAACAGCUUUCUUGCCUGCCUCCAAGAGCACAGUGAUUUGCUGGUUUGGGCCAGAGCAACAGCUAAGCCGAUCCUUGCAGGCACGGAGGAAGUCUUGCGUGAUGCUUUUCAAGCCAUUCUUAUCAAACCUAACAUUUUCAGAAACUAUUUCCAGGUUCUGUAGUGUGUGGAAGGUAGGAGUGUGUGUGAAAGCACUGUGGUGGUUCUUCUCCCUUUUCAGGAGAAAUGCAUCUCAAAAGCCAGCUGCAUUUGCAGUCACUUUCUGGCAUGUCAACAUACAGUAAAUCUGCUCAGCUCGGGUCACGAUACAAGGACAGGCAAUAGGCUGACUUGCUCCUUUAGUGCUGUCACCACUUCUCCUGCUCUCACUUCAGCAGAGAAAAACCACACAUCGACUUUCUCCCACAGACCCGUGGUAGGAGCCAGCAGAAGUAGGAGAAUGUUUUUUUUCCCAAAUCUAAUUUGAAACACGAUGACUGGACCGUUCUUAAACAGCUUCCAACUUAACAAUAAAGAAACUUCACCGAGUGCUUGGCAGGAGCCUCUGGAUGUAAUUUAGAUCAUAAUCAGAUGCAUUAACACAUUUUAUAUGGAUCUCGUGGGGGCCAAGAAGACGAGGUGUGCUGGGUAAUUUCUUUCCAGAUUUCUUUACCUGAUUGUUUAUUACUCUCGGGGACUUCAUUUGUGGUCCAAAUGUCACCAGCAGAAUCCUACUGCUUUAUGUGGCUGCAUUUAGAGCAGCUAUGAGCGAGGCUUCAGAUCACCUCAUUGGCAUUAUCAUCACUCUUUCCAUCGAAGGGAGGGU